UCGCUCUUCCCUCUUCCUAAAUUUAGAAUCCCAUCUACCUACCUCCAGUGAGACUGGGAGUUGACAUUUCAGCAUAAGCUCUACUCUCUAAACCCUUUACCCUUGUCGUCCUAAACCUUUGCCCCUCUUCUCUUAUAAUGGCGGCGAUAUGUUUCCUGUCACCAGUAAAACCAAUAACUUUUUCUUCAUCAGUACAUAGCAAAAGAUCACCCCUCUUCCGCUGCAACUUCUCUCUCCCUACCAUCACCACCACUGAACCCGAACCCGUCUACACCUCCGUCAGGUCGUUUGCCCCCGCCACUGUUGCCAACCUCGGCCCCGGAUUCGACUUCUUGGGUUGUGCUGUCGAUGGUCUUGGAGACUUUGUCUCCGUUCGAAUCGACCCAUCCGUCCAUCCCGGUGAGAUCUCCAUCUCUGACAUUACUGGAAAUCAUGCCUGUAAAAAGCUUUCAAAGGAUCCUCUCCGGAACUGCGCAGGUAUCUCUGCUAUUGCUACCAUGAAAAUGCUUAAUAUACGCUCUGUGGGUCUUUCUCUUACACUUGAAAAAGGACUUCCGUUAGGGAGUGGUCUUGGAUCGAGUGCAGCCAGUGCUGCGGCAGCUGCUGUUGCUGUAAAUGAGAUUUUCGGGGGAAAAUUAGAAGUUAAGGAUUUAAUUCUUGCUGGAUUGGAAUCUGAAGCUAAAGUUUCAGGUUAUCAUGCAGAUAAUAUAGCGCCUGCAAUAAUGGGAGGGUUUGUAUUGAUUAAUAGUUAUGAUCCUUUGGAAUUGAUGAGCUUAAAGUUUCCAGGAGAGAAAGAGCUAUUCUUUGUAUUGGUAACUCCGGAAUUUGAGGCACCAACCAAGAAAAUGCGAGCUGCCUUGCCGGAAGAAAUUGGGAUGCCCCACCAUGUCUGGAACUGUAGCCAAGCUGGGGCAUUAGUUGCUUCUGUGCUACAAGGGGAUUUGAUGGGGUUGGGUAAGGCACUUUCAAAUGAUAAGAUUGUGGAGCCUAAAAGGGCUCCAUUGAUUCCCGGAAUGGAGGAAGUGAAGAAGGCGGCUAUUAGGGCAGGCGCAUUUGGGUGUACAAUUAGUGGAGCAGGGCCUACAGCUGUGGCCGUGAUUGAUAAUGAGGAGAGAGGAAAGGAGAUUGGGGAGAGGAUGGUGGAGGCAUUUUUGAAGGAAGGAAAUUUGAAGGCUGUAUCUCUGGUGAAGAGGCUAGAUAGAGUUGGUGCUAGGCUUAUUGGCAGUGUUCCAGCCAGAUAAUCAAAAUUUUUUUGUGACCAUAAUUAGGCACCUUGUAUAGUAGACAUUUCAAAGGACUGCGCUUGGCUGACAGAUGCUAAUAUGAAACAAGCAUCAGUUUCUGGAAAUAUGAUUGCAUCUGCCAUGCAAAGUGAACUUAAGAAGCCAGGUUGAAAAGAACUUAUUGACUCAUGAGAUAUAGGUGCAAUCUAUCUUUGCUAAUAAUUUUGUGUCCAUUUUGAUAAAUUUUGUUUUUAUAUUUUAUAAAAUUGAAAACUGGAUCUUUAGGGAUAAGAAUAUAGCAGGCAAUGCUGAAGCCCCCUUCUUGCUUGGAAGAGUGGAUGAAAUAAUUGGAGGUGCCUCAUUGGCAUCAAGUAUCCUUCUCUUGUUCCUGACUGGAUGUUUUUUUCUUGGAAGUUCUAUUUUGUGGUCCUUUUUAUUUUAUUCUGUGGCAUCAGAUAGGCAGUAAUUAGUUGCGUAGUUGAUCUGGUAUUUUAAUUUUCUUAACCAAGUCUCAGACUCAUCGGAUGGGGGGUAAAGAUGAGUUUUCGAAGAAGAAACAUUGUCUAUUUUGUCUUUUUGAAUCUCUAUACCCCUAUGGCUCAUUGUCAUCUUUCAUAUUAACAAUGAUAGAAAUAUAUGCAAACUUUGUCCAAGUAAUGUAUGCUGGUGUCUUGUAUGGACAAGCUGUCAUCAUUUGAUUUAGUUCCUGUUAUAUGUUUCAAGGAAUAAAACACGAAACCAAGUACAGGAGAAUAUCAAAUGUUGCAGUGUGUUAUUGAACUUAGCUGAAACUUAGGUUUAUCUAAAUGAAUAUAUCAUUCAUGAAGUAGCACUUGUUCUCAGAUUUUCCCAUCAUUUUUUAAUAUGGGUUUCUUGUAGUUUGAUCUAUUUAGACGAUGAUAGAGUUCAUAUAAUAUUAAUUAUUCUUUAUCAGUGUGUAUGAUAAAUUUAAAUUCAUGUCAAAAUUUGGACAGGAGAUUAGUCCUUGUCCUAGGCUUUAAA